AGCGAACGCUGGCGGCAGGCCUAACACAUGCAAGUCGAACGAACUCUUCGGAGAUAGUGGCGGACGUGUAAGUAACACGUGGGAACGUGCCCUAGGGUAGGGAAUAACUGAGGGAAACUUGAGCUAAUACCGAAAGUGCGCGUCGGGGGAAAGAUUUAUAGCCAUUGAUGCGGGCAGCGUCUGAUUAGCUAGUUGGUGAGGUAAAGGAUCACUAAGGCUACGAUCAGUAGAUGGUCUGAGAGGAAGAGCAGCCACUCUGGGGCUGGGGCACGGCCCAAACUCCUACGGGAGGCAGGAGUGGGGGAUCUUGCGCAAUGGGCGAAAGCCUGACGGAGCCAUGCCGCGUGAAUGAUGAAGGUCGUAGGAUUGUAAAAUUCUUUCAACGGGGACGAGUAUGACGGUACCCAGAGAAGAAGCCCCGGCUAACUUCGUG
rnacentral:rRNA from 1 species